UAUUGCGCAGAGAGGAGAGAAGACACCACACCACUGAAGCCCCUGGUUCUCUUCACAACAAAAAAACUUGAUUUCUCGCAGAGAGGAGAGACGACGUUGCCACCCCUGUUCUUCGUCGUUCAUCAGAUUUCUGUUCAUCGGCUUUCAAUACGAAGUAUGAUUGAGAUUUGGAACUUAAAAUUCUGGAAGAAUUUCAAAUUUCGACCUAAUUUGCUGUGGUUAGGGUUUGUUCUGAGGUUGUUCACAGAAAGGUUUGAGCUUCUCUUCUCCCUUUCUCUCUCUGCUCUCUUGCUGUGCGCAAAAGUGGAAUUUGAUAGUCAUCCUCCACCACCUCCCUUCUAUUGAUUCUUUUGAGAAUUUUCUUAAAUUCCCUCCAAAGAAAGAAAGAGAAGCAAUGUUUCAGUCAUCUAGACUGUCAUUAGAUUCUUCUUCUUCUUCUUUGUCCACAAUUGCUAUUGUUGUUCGGGCAAACCUCGCAGCCUGAGAAAGAAUGAAUUCCUGCAAUCAUCGAAUGGGUUCCGGCCAUAUGUGCUAGGCAUUGGAGGAAUUACAUUUUUGGGGGAAGAAGAAAUUGGGAUGGAGAAAGAGGAGAUGGACAUGGGGGACAAAUGAGAAAGUCUCUCCAUAUUUAUUUGAAUUGUUAUGCACAUCUGAAUUGUGAAUAAAUUGGUAGGGAGAGGUUUAGGUGUCAGGGAAAUGUAUGUAUAGGUUUGAGAGAUUCAUGAAAAAAUUGACAAGCAGGUCUAUGAGGCAGUAGCACUUCUGUUCCUAUGCUGCUGCUUUGUGGGUUUUUCAUUAUUGUC